rnacentral:rRNA from 1 species
ACGCUCGACACCUACGAGAGGCAGCAGUGAGGAAUAUUGGUCAAUGGGCGCUAGCCUGAACCAGCCAAGUAGCGUGAAGGAUGAAGGCUCUAUGGGUCGUAAACUUCUUUUAUAUAAGAAUAAAGUGCAGUAUGUAUACUGUUUUGUAUGUAUUAUAUGAAUAAGGAUCGGCUAACUCCGUGCCAGCAGCCGAGGUAAUCUGAGCGGGCUGGCAAGGC